rnacentral:tRNA from 1 species
UCCUAUGUAGCUCAGUAGGUAAAGAAUCUGCCUGGAAUGCAGGAGACUCAGGUUUGAUCCCUGGGUUGGGAU